AACGAACGCUGGCGGCAUGCCUAACACAUGCAAGUCGAACGAGACCUUCGGGUCUAGUGGCGCACGGGUGCGUAACGCGUGGGAACCUGCCCUUAGGUUCGGAAUAACUCCCCGAAAGGGGUGCUAAUACCGGAUAAUGUCUUCGGACCAAAGAUUUAUCGCCUUUGGAUGGGCCCGCGUUGGAUUAGCUAGUUGGUAGGGUAAAAGCCUACCAAGGCGACGAUCCAUAGCUGGUCUGAGAGGAUGAUCAGCCACACUGGGACUGAGACACGGCCCAGACUCCGAGGGGGGGCAGGAGGGGGGAAUAUGGGAAAAGGGGAGAAAUCUGGCUCAAGCACGGGUGGGGGGGUGAUGAGGGGCGUGGGGUUGUAAAGUUCUGUUCCCGGGAAGGAAAAUAAAAGUACGGGGAGAAGAAGCUCCGUAGAACUCAGGGCCAGCAGCGGGGGUAGUGGAGGAAGAGCAUACGUCUGGAC
rnacentral:rRNA from 1 species